rnacentral:rRNA from 1 species
AACNNACGCUGGCGGCGUGCCUAAUACAUGCAAGUCGAACGGGGAAAGCUUUCGGGUGAGUACUAGUGGCGCACGGGUGAGUAACACGUGGGUAAUCUGCCUUCAAAUGGGGAACAACCAGUCGAAAGAUUGGCUAAUACCUCAUAAGACCACAAGAUCUGCGGAUCUAGGGGUUAAAGGAGUAAUUCGUUUGAAGAUGAGCCCGCGCGAGAUUAGCUAGUUGGUGAGGUAAUGGCUCACCAAGGCUACGAUCUCUAGCUGGUCUGAGAGGAUGAUCAGCCACACUGGAACUGAGACACGGUCCAGACUCCUACGGGAGGCAGCAGUAGGGAAUAUUGCGCAAUGGGGGAAACCCUGACGCAGCGACGCCGCGUGAGUGAUGAAGGACUUCGGUUCGUAAAGCUCUGUCGCAGGGGAAUAAUUUUGAAUGUACCCUGUAAGAAAGGAUCGGCUAACUUCGUGCCAGCAGCCGCGGUAAGACGAGGGAUCCUAGCGUUGUUCGGAAUCAUUGGGCGUAAAGCGGGUGUAGGCGGCUUUGUAAGUCAGGUGUGAAAGCCCAGGGCUCAACCCUGGAAGUGCAUUUGAUACUGCGAAGCUUGAGUGUGGGAGAGGCUAGUGGAAUUCCUGGUGUAGUGGUGAAAUACGUAGAUAUCAGGAGGAACAUCGGUGGCGAAAGCGGCUAGCUGGCCC